UGGCUUUCAGAAGCUGCUGGAUCCUCUUCACUCUGGCUUGCUGAUAGUUUUAUCUUGCAGCAUUAUUCUGAACGUUGCUCUCAUUUGUAUAAGAUGUAAACUGACCUGUACACACUGUGCAGAUGAAAAGAACAGUGAUAUAUCAAAAGUGGAAUGGUCACGCAAGCAAUGCCAUGACGAGGACACACUGAAUUACGCUGCCCUGAACCUUAAGAAGCCAAAACCCAGGAGACAGAAGAAAGACGGGAAUAAUGACACUCAGUAUUCUGACCUCCGCUACAGAGAUUAUGAAUAAAGAUGCUUCUCAUUCAUGUCAGUCACACAGAGUGUUCAGGGUGUAGCUUUAAUAAUGUUCAGAGGAGGGCAGGGGAGCCAGUGCUUCUGAGACUGAAUCUCGGGAUUUUACGGAGCACCGGUGCUGAGUUUGGUGUCAGUGUGUUUGGGGCGC